UUUUCUUCUUCUGUCUCCCUUUUCUAUCUCAUCUCUUCAUACUCUCUCUCUCUCCUUCUGGCCUCAGCUCCUGGAUGAGGCCUGGGACCCCGGAUAGAGCCCUCACCACUUGGCCACUGACUCCAGAGACUGAUUCUGACCCAGCCAGGUAAGACCGCCCGGCAGGAUUUCUUUCCCACUGGUUCAGGCCUGGCUUGAUCAGGCCCAGCGUCCCACCCUGAGCUUCCCCAGCAGGAUGACUCAGCUCCAGUCCUGGAGAUGGCCUCUGAGACCCCUCUAUUUGGCUUUGCCCUCUUCCUGGGACUGGAUGUUCUCUCUUGGCCCCAUCCCCCAACCAAAGAGUACCCUUUGCCCCAGGCUAUCUGCCAAGGGACCGGGCCCCCUUCUGGCCCUAGGAUUCUGCUGAAUUUCUUCAGGCCCCCAGCUGGGUUCUGACCAGGAAUGCCCCAGGGCCUCCUUUCUUCCAAGUGCUUGGGGGUCUUUUUGACAACACUGGCUUGGGAGGAAGAGAGAGUUGAGGCACCUUCGACAAGACCCCCAGGAGUGCCCUACUCACCUCCUGCCUCUAUAUUCAACCUCCAAACUGGCCUUAGGAUCAGGCGAGUGGGCCCCUCUUCUAGGGACUGGAUGUAGCACAGCCCCCUUACCGACUCAGCUCUUACUCCAGAGACUGCCCUGACAGGGAGGUCAGGAUGUGGGACAGAGAGGCUCCUGGGUCCUGAGGAGAAGGAGGUACAACUCUCGGCCUUCAGGUCCCCCAAGUGCCCCCUGGCCAGAGCAGGAAGGAGGAGGUAGAGCUCCAGCCUAGCUGAGGGUCAGACUGACCGAGAUUUCUGAGCUGGGACUGAGAAGCCAAGGCCCUUGGCUGCCAUGUCUUCCCAGGAACACAAUCAUCAGAAGUUAAUGAUCACAUGGCUUAUCAGGGGCUUUUCAUUUAUAAAAUUAUAAAACAAAGAAGAAAUAAUAAAGCCACUGGAUAAUUAGUAACUAGGCAGGCCUCCAGGGGAAGGAGGGGUGCAGACAACCGGGAGGGCCCAACAAAGCCUCAGGGAGUAGGGAACAGGGAAGAUUGGGUAGAGAGAGCCAUAGCCCAGGGAGGGAGAGCGGGCGGAUGGGGGCCGAUUUCAGUGGAAGAGUCUGAGAGGAGGAAAGGGAGGAGUCUGAGAGGUGGAAAGAGAGUGAGAAUGGAGGCCAGGGAGGAAGGAAUGAGCGUUCAUGAGAACAAAUGGGAGGGAGAAGCAGCUUCGAUGGUGAGCACUGUCUUCCCCCAGGUAAGAGCCGUUUGGAUUACUUGGUAUCCACAGAGUUGGUGGGAGCUCUUCUCCGACCAUCAAAUCUGUUAUUUCGUACUCUUCCAAAUGCUUAACAUAGUGCUCCGCACACAGUAAGUACUCAAUAAAUAUGAAUGCUUGAUUGAUUACUUAGCCCCUGCUCUCAGAGUAGCUAUCCUCUUCCACCAUCCAGGACAGGUCCCUCGGCUCAACCCACCUCCCAGAUAGGUUGGGACCUGGGCAUUCCCGAAAGGACUCGGAGCUAUCAGGGAAGGGUUUGAUUCAUGAGAGGCCAGGCUGUUUAGAGAGACUGUGCAGAGCCUGAUUCUCAGGGAGAUGAAAACAGAACAAAACGGGGCAGCGAUCCGCUGGAAAAAGUCAGCGUGAGCACUGAGGCGAUGAAGAAGAAACAACCAGCCCAUUAUGGACCUCUCAUCCAGGCAUUUAUCCUACAUUUAUUCAUUGUGACCACUUCCGUAGCCACUUCCCAGGCCACAGCUGCAGAUGAUCUGAUAUUAUGCCCUGGGCUGAAGCAGUGAGAGGACUCAUUGCCAUGGAGAGGGCUGGUGCCGCAAGGUAUGCAUGACUGUGCCCCCGGGGUCUGUGUUUGCCCAUAUCUAGAGUAUUGGUCACCAGAGUGUGUGUGUGUGUGUGUGUGUGUGUUUGUGUGUAAGUGUAUGUGUGAUGUCUAUCUGGAUGCUUGUCUGUCUUUUCCCAGCCUCUUCUUUGGUGUCCCUUACUUCCCCUCACUCGAUCCUCCCUUUCCUCUGAUUCCCCCUCCCCACCAUCCUUUCUUGGUUUUUAUCUCCCUCUCCCUUUCAU